CAGCUGCUCCCCGCGCCGGCACCCGCGCGCCGCUGCUCCGCCGGCGCUGCCUCCCUCGACCCGUGGCUCCCCCUCGCAACUUGGCGGGCCUCCUCCCUUUUGUCCGGCCCGGUCCGGCCGCCGCCGCCCCCCGCGCCUGGCGCCGAGCUCCCGGGUCCCCGGGCCGGCUGUCGGUGCCGGCAGGGCGCGGAGGGGGCGGGGGCCGCGGCUCGUCCCCCAGCGGAUGAGCUGCCGCGGACGGGGCGCGGGCGGACGAUGGAACUCCACAUCCUGGAGCACCGGCUGCAAGUUGCCAGCGUCGCCAAGGAGAGUAUCCCGCUGUUCACCUACGGGCCUGAUCAAACUUGCCUUCCUGUUCUCCAAGACCAGGUGCAAGUUCUUCAGUCUGACUGAGACACCAGAGGAUUACACUAUCAUUGUCGAUGAGGAAGGAUUCCUAGAGCUGCCCUCCUCGGAGCACCUGAGUGUGGCGGAUGCCACCUGGCUGGCCCUGAACGUGGUGUCCGGCGGUGGCAGCUUCUCCAGCUCCCAGCCUAUUGGCAUGACCAAGAUCGCCAAGUCAGUCAUCGCCCCACUGGCUGACCAGAACAUAUCCGUGUUCAUGCUGUCCACGUAUCAGACAGACUUCAUCCUGGUGCUCAAGCGGGACCUGCCCUUUGUCACCCACACGUUGUCAUCAGAGUUCACCAUCCUGUGGUCAGUGGCUAGACUGUAGCAGCCGAGAACCUCGGCAUCACCAGUGGCUUCGUGAAGCCCAAGCUGGUCCAGAUGCCGGUCAUCCACCCACUGUCCAGCCCGAGCAACAGGUUCUGUGUCACCAGCCUGGACCCCGACACGCUGCCUGCUGUUGCCACACUCCUCAUGGAUGUCAUGUCCUACUUCAAUGGGUGAGGAUACAACUAGAAGCCAGCAGUCUACAGGCUGGAAGAAGGCCCUCACCAGAACCCAACCCUUGGACUUCAGCCUCCAGAACUAUUCAUUCAGCUUUUCCAGACCAGGCAUCACCGAGCGGAGAGAGGGGAAACACCCUGGCUUCUCUUUGGCACAUCAGCCCCUAGUUCUUGAGAGAGAAGGGCAGGGUGGUCUACUCACCAUGUCUGUAUCCUGCCGUUCUUCAUUUGACUCAUCCUGGAUUUCUAACUCUUCUUCCUCGUCCUCUUCCAUAAGGCUGAGUCUGAUGUAGGGGCAAAGAGACUGGCUUUUCAAACUGUUCUUUGAGGACCCCUGAGAGUUUCUCAGACACCCGGGGUGGGGGAAGUGGGGAGCAGUAAGUACAGCAUAGUAGUUUCCCGAUUGUGCUGACAGGAAGUGCUCUGUGGCUAAAACAAGUCCAAAAAGCACCCACAGAGAGGCAAUGGGUGAGACAGGAAUCCCCUCACAGUGGGCGACAGAUCUGAAGUGAAGACAGGAGAUGAUGAGAAAAGCUCACCGCAUCAGCUGGUUGCCCAGGCCAGGACCUGAAGGGUUGUGUGGAGUCUGGAAAUAUUGUGGACCCAAGAACCUUGACCUCUCGGUGCCUGCGACGGGCUGACUGCUGGGAAUGAAGCAGGAUCAAUGAUGGGAUAAAAAUCAAGGGGCCUUGGUGUACCUUGUUGUAGUGUUUGAAAACAUCUGAGGCUGCAUCCAUCUCCAGCACCCCAUAAAGCAACAGCUUGCAGAACCCGGCUAGGAGGCGGCGCCGCUGGUGUAGCCGCUCUAUCUGUAAAUGAUCCUCCUGGGAAUCACCUGGCUCACAUGGAAGGCAAAAGGGAAUCACAGACUUAAGCUUCCUGCCCUAUAUUUCUGAGCUACACCCAAGCCCCAGCCCUUACUGAGCCCCAGGUAUAGAGUCACUGCACCACUGCCCAGGUCUCCCGGCUGGAUGAAGACGUGGUCCAUGAGGAAGCUGGCUAGCUCAGACUGGAGAGUAGCUUCAGGAAAAAAGACAAGUGGCCUAAGGAAAUCACGGCCCCCAACAAUCAUCUGAGGGCUAAAGAUGAGAAGUAGAUCACUUAAUAAGACAAAAGCCUGUAGGGGGAAAAGAAAGGAUGUUUAAAAGGACAGAAUGUUUCCCAAGGUAGAAAUGACACUGUCAAUUUCUCCUUGGAAUGGGGGCAGGGAUACUCGCCUUGUUGCUCCCACUUGAGUCAGUACUCACCUGCUCCUGGAUCUCAGUAUCCACAUCUGAGAGGCAACUCUGGCAGAGUUCACAGAAGGCCACCAUUCUGUCCCUCAAACUCGACAGCUGCUUCUGUGGGCACAGUGGCUUGAAGGGGAAGAAUGAAGACACAGACUCCUCUGUUCCCAUUAUCCCAUCUAAGACCCACACUCACCUGGGAAGCAUCUGAUUUAGAAAUGUGGGUUAGUGUCCAGAGAAUGGAAAAAUAGACAAGAGUCAAGGCUGGCAGGAUAACCUGUAACAACAAAGGGUUUGAAAAAUGAGGUUUGGGUUAGGAGAGGGAGAGACAGAUAGCCAGAAACACACCAGUGAAGAGGAGAGAAAAUGAGUAAAGGGAGAGCUAAUUCCUUUUCCAGUGGAAAAUGAGUGAUAUUCUGGACAUUCUUCAGAGGCAUCUACACGAAGUAGAAAUGUCACCGCUCCCUAAUUUACUCUACGUCUUCUAGAAUCCCUCAAUAUUAUCCUUGGCUUCCAGGAAAUCCAAGAAGACCCUGGAAGUAGAGUCCACCUUCUAAGAGAGGAAUGUAAGAGGUGACCCCCACCCACCUGAUCUUCCUCGCUUUGUCCACUCCACGCACUGAGACUUGACACACCUAGUGGCCACCUAGAACGUAGGUCCUUAAAAUCUAGCCCCCCAGCCCCCAACCCAUCUCUAGCCUGUCCACUCACCUGGUGAGGAACCUCUCCUGUGUCCACAGCCUUCUGCAGGAGUUGGCAACAUGGCUCAUAGAGCUCCCAGCGAGUCAGGUCAUGAGUGCUUUGGGGGAGAAAGGGGAAUGUUAUACUGGAAAAGAACAGAGGGAACCAACUCCACAGACACCAGUAAAAACGGGAUGGGGAAGAGGAGGAAAGCCACUCACUUGUAGAAGGCAGAGAGGCGUUUCAGAGUGGCUGCCAGAUUAUAUACCUCAUCCUCAUCUAGGAAGGACGACUGAGAAGGAAAGAAGAUCCACAAUAGCAUUUCCCCCAGAACUCAUCAGUCCACAUCCCCCGUCUUGCAGCCCCUCCCACCCUUGUUUGGGGUGUCCCAUUGUCCAGCCCCAGCUCCUACCUGUAACAGCUCUUCAAGCUCCUGCUGGAAGCGGUCAGUCAGCAAAUCUACUAGCUGGCUGCGGGCAAAGUCCGCCCGGCUGAAGAAAGUGAAUUCGGGAUUACAGAGCAGGUAGAGGGCAUGCGCCCCAGCCUCAAGCACCGCUGGCUCUGCAUGCUUCACCACCACCUCCUGGAGUUGCUGCAGGAACAGCUCCAGGUGCUGAGAAGAAAAGGCAGAAGAUGGUGUGCUGUGGGGAUGGGAGGAGGACACUCUUCUGGCGGGAAGUGGAACGGGGUUAAAAGCAUUAAACUUCAAGGAUAAGAUGCCUAAGAAAA
rnacentral:lncRNA from 1 species